rnacentral:rRNA from 1 species
CCUACGGGAGGCAGCAGUGGGGAAUAUUGCACAAUGGGGGAAACCCUGAUGCAGCGACGCCGCGUGAGUGAAGAAGUAUUUCGGUACGUAAAGCUCUAUCAGCAGGGAAGAAAAAAGUCCUUUGGACUUUGGACGGUACCUGACUAAGAAGCCCCGGCUAACCACGUGCCAGCAACCGCGGUAAUACGUAGGGGGCAAGCGUUAUCCGGAUUUACUGGGUGUAAAGGGAGCGUAGACGGCAGCGCAAGUCUGGAGUGAAAUGCCGGGGCCCAACCCCGGAACUGCUUUGGAAACUGUGCAGCUGGAGUGCAGGAGAGGUAAGCGGAAUUCCUAGUGUAGCGGUGAAAUGCGUAGAUAUUAGGAGGAACACCAGUGGCGAAGGCGGCUUACUGGACUGUAACUGACGUUGAGGCUCGAAAGCGUGGGGAGCAAACAGGAUUAGAUACCCCAGUAGUC